AUAUGUAUACAGGGUGGUCCGGAAACAUAGUAACAACGGCCUACAGGUGAUAUAUUGGAUCAUUUCCAACAAAAAACACUCCCAUACAUAUGGGUCGAUUUCUCAUGGUUUUCAAGAUAUCCACUAUUUUUCAAAAAUAUCAGAGUUUGCCUUGGUUUUUACGUAAUAACUUUUUUCCUACUUAUGGUACAAAAAAAUAAUGCACAUUUUUGAAAUCUACACAAAAUUUUGCAUUCAAAAUAAUAAUUUUAGCGAUCUUAGUCUCAACAAAUAAUAAACAGUACGGAGAUGUUUUUCCUGAUGAGUGCCACAUUUCGAUCGGGGAAAGUUUUCGAGAAAAUUGAGUGACACUGGUCACGGGAAAAAUACAAACACAAAAGUUUGGAUCACAGGUCUUUGUUUUUUUUACACGCCGCAACCAUUAGUUUGAAUGCAAAAUUUUGUGCAGAUUUCAAAAAUGUGCAUUAUUUUUUUGUACCCUAAGAAGGAAAAAAGUUAUUGCGUAAAAACCAAGGCAAACUCUGAUAUUUUUGAAAAAUGGUGGAUAUCUUGAAAACCAUGAGAAAUCGACACAUAAUAUGUAUGAGAG
rnacentral:lncRNA from 1 species